AGUAGCUUGCUACUUUGCCGGCGAGCGGCGGACGGGUGAGUAAUGUCUGGGAAACUGCCUGAUGGAGGGGGAUAACUACUGGAAACGGUAGCUAAUACCGCAUGACCUCGCAAGAGCAAAGUGGGGGACCUUCGGGCCUCACGCCAUCGGAUGUGCCCAGAUGGGAUUAGCUAGUAGGUGAGGUAAUGGCUCACCUAGGCGACGAUCCCUAGCUGGUCUGAGAGGAUGACCAGCCACACUGGAACUGAGACACGGUCCAGACUCCUACGGGAGGCAGCAGUGGGGAAUAUUGCACAAUGGGCGCAAGCCUGAUGCAGCCAUGCCGCGUGUGUGAAGAAGGCCUUAGGGUUGUAAAGCACUUUCAGCGAGGAGGAAGGGUUCAGUGUUAAUAGCACUGUGCAUUGACGUUACUCGCAGAAGAAGCACCGGCUAACUCCGUGCCAGCAGCCGCGGUAAUUCGGAGGGUGCAAGCGUUAAUCGGAAUUACUGGGCGUAAAGCGCACGCAGGCGGUUUGUUAAGUCAGAUGUGAAAUCCCCGAGCUUAACUUGGGAACUGCAUUUGAAACUGGCAAGCUAGAGUCUUGUAGAGGGGGGUAGAAUUCCAGGUGUAGCGGUGAAAUGCGUAGAGAUCUGGAGGAAUACCGGUGGCGAAGGCGGCCCCCUGGACAAAGACUGACGCUCAGGUGCGAAAGCGUGGGGAGCAAACAGGAUUAGAUACCCUGGUAGUCCACGCUGUAAACGAUGUCGACUUGGAGGUUGUGCCCUUGAGGCGUGGCUUCCGGAGCUAACGCGUUAAGUCGACCGCCUGGGGGGUACGGCCGCAAGGUUAAAACUCAAAUGAAUUGACGGGGGCCCGCACAAGCGGUGGAGCAUGUGGUUUAAUUCGAUGCAACGCGAAGAACCUUACCUACUCUUGACAUCCAGAGAAUUCGCUAGAGAUAGCUUAGUGCCUUCGGGAACUCUGAGACAGGUGCUGCAUGGCUGUCGUCAGCUCGUGUUGUGAAAUGUUGGGUUAAGUCCCGCAACGAGCGCAACCCUUAUCCUUUGUUGCCAGCACGUAAUGGUUGGGAAC
rnacentral:rRNA from 1 species